UUCGCCCCCCCCCCCUUCCCCUGAGUCGCGUCGCGCUGCUGCUCCCGCCCCAGCUGGGGCCGAAGAUGGAGUGGCGGCGGGGUUUGUCCUCGAGACUUCCUUGGAUCUGGGGGCAAACGCGCCGACAGUUCGGACGCGGGUCUGGCUGGUUUUGCUUCGUCUUAUUGCAUUUUAUGACUAAUUAAAAAGCUUUGCGUUCACCGUCGCCCCAGCCCGCUUUCCUCCUGGCUGUUCCCUCCGCCCCUGCCCCUGGCCCGCGAUCGCCCGAACCCGGCUCCUUCGAAGCCCCCUUCGGGCCCCGCCGCCCCCCUCGGGCCUCCCCGGCCCCCGCCUCCGCCCCCACCCCGCCCCCACCCCUUCGCCCCCACCCAACCGCUCUAGCUUCGGGCUCCGCGGCUCAAAAACAACAGCGGCAGCGCCGCCAGCUCCGCGCUCCGCCACUGCCCGGGCCGGCGGGCGGAACUCGGACCCGCCGCCCUCGGUCCCGCACGGAGCCGCAGGGAGCAGCGCGCCGGGCACUGGGGAGGCGGCGCCGGGGCAGCCGUCCCAGCGCCGGGCGCCCUGCACCUCGCCGCCUCGGGCGGGCCCGCUCUCUCCUGCCUCCGCGGCCCCAGGUGAGUACCCAACGGCGCGAGCGCCCGAGCUGGGCCACCUCGAGCGACCGGAGCCUCUGGGGACACGUCCCCCUCGCCUCGCGCGGCCCAGGUGCGUCUCGGGCGGGAGAGCCGGCGGAGGAGCAGGUGCCGGAGCGCUGGCGGGAGCCGACUGGGCGUUGCUUCUGCCCCACAGCCCUCAAAUUCGGCGGUGCGGCGGCGGAGGGGCAGGCUGGGCGCAGGCAGUGUGUUCCGGGCCCAGGGGCCUGGAGGGGACGGUGAGAACUGCUCAUUCGAGUAUGUCUGGGAUUCGAGAAGGAAUUGGAAGCAAACGGAGGCGCUGACCCCCGCGCUCUUUCAAGUACCAGGGUUCUGCCAGGCUGCGGGACUUGGAGCUGCCAGAGAGUCUCCCUGAGCCGGGGAGGGGUCGUGUGCGCGGUGCGGGGUCUCUGCCGCCCUGGGUGGGCUUCGGGCCGUGCCCCUCCCCUUUGUUGUGCAGUGAGACCAGUGGCGCCUCCGCUGGGACCUACAUUCGGAACCCCGCGCCCUCGCCAUAAAAGAGGUGAACUGGCAAUGUCCAAGGAGCUGCCCCCGAGACCCCGGGGUCCUAGCAGAGGCGCCCCGAUGCCAAGGGGCGCAUGGCCCACGCUACCCCAGAGGAAAGCCCGACGGAGCCGGGCUUGUCAAAAGCCAGCGGCGGCAGCGCGCUGGGCCUUCCACCCUGGCCUCUCCGCCGUCCUCAGCCGCUUCCCUGCCGGGAUUCGAACCCCGACGGAGCCCCCACUGCUGGGGGGUGGGGUGUCCAGGCUUGCGCCCGCCCGCUUACUGCCCCGGACGGAGAAGGCGCUCUCUGCCCGGCCGGGAUGCCCACUGACCACCGCCUCUGUUGUUUCCGGCCCUUGGUGAGUGUUGCCUGCGGUGGCGGCCCCGAAUUCACCAUCAGCUCAGUCCCCUGGCCCGCCGCCCUCCGACGGCCUGUGGCUCGCCGCCUCCCCCUCGCCGCCUCCCGAACCCUGACCAUCUUUCCUCGGAGACUGGGCAGAGAACCGCCAGGCUCAGAGGGUCCCUGGGCCUUGUUGCCAGGCCCUCCGGGGCUUGGAGGAGAGUCCCCACGGGGGGCUAGGGCGUGGCUGCCCUGGGUCCUCGUGGGCUCAGAGCCCUCUCAAGCCCAGGGUGUGUGUGUGUGGAGGGGUCGCUGGGAGAGGCAGGAAGGGAGCUGGAGCCCCCCGCUCUGGAGCUGUCUCCCUCACCCAGCCACGGCAGGCUCCAGCAGGGAGCAGAAUUGCGCUGGGGCGCUGGCCAGGAGAACACAAACACAGGGUCGCCCUCCCGCCUCGGCACCCCAGAUUCUCCCAGCCAAGUUAGGUGUGAGGCCUGGGGGGAAUACAGUGGCUCCUGUGAAGCCCUCCCACCUGCAGAGAGAGGGAGUCCCUUCCCCACCCCGACCCCCAGCUUAGCACUGUUUCUCCCACCCAGGUGGCAGCCAGCAGGACCCGAGGUCAGGAGGGCCCAGCCUCUUCUGGGGGUGCCCCAGCUCACUCAGGCCCUCUCUGUGCUCCCUCCCUCAGCUCAUGCGGUGAUGAAAAUUGUGGAGCAGCCUCCAGACUCUGGGACUGCACCCUUGCCGGGGCCCAGGAGAGGAGGGCGGGCGUCCGGGGAGAGGGCCUGUCUGUGCUGUCUCUGGCCGGUGUCCCCUAGGGCCCUGGAGGGUGGGGAGGACUACAGCUCUGAUCCUGCCUGGGGAGGAGUAAGCUAGCGGUCAAGGGUGACCAGGAAGACAGCCGAGGUGCCGACACCCCCAGGGUGCUCUCUCGAAUCAGCCCCAUCAGCUUGAGAAGCCCGGGCGGGCCGUCCCCAAGGCCAUGGCCCUGGCCGAGGUUGGGUCCCGGCCUGGCCAGGCCCUGCCCCCGCGUGGUGAGACUUAGACCUGACGGAGAGCAGGUCAGGCCUCAGGGAGAGUCCUGAGGAGCAAAAGGGUGGAGCAGGGGGAAUCAGAUGCAGGUCCUCCGGGGCGCCCAGCUCUGUGUCCUGCCCCACCGCGGACAUUAAGAGACUUGGGGAAACAGCUUGGGCCGGGCGGGGGGGGGGGGGGGGCUCAGCCAGAAUAGGGCAGUUUUCAUUUCAAUGGUACCAAAAGGUUUAAAGGCUGUUUUCAAACUGAGCUAAGCUUUGGGGAUUCUUGUGGCCGGGCCAAAGCUGGGACCUGGGGACUCCGCACUGGGGUGGGAGUACGCAAGUGCCGCCCACCCCAUCCCUGGUGCCCUCCACAGGGGCUUCUGUCCCUGCCAGACUGUCCAAGGCUGGUGACGUGUGGGUCGGCCACAGUGAUGUGCUCUACACCCUAUGGUGUUUGGGAACAGACUUCAAUGCUGCGGUCUAGGGGACGGGAGGGGGGACUUCUACCACCAACUUCUGCCGCAACCUAGAAUCCUGCUUCAGGCCAGAGCUCAGCACACUCCCAGCCUCACCAGCAAGCAGGGAGGCGCAGCUGGAGACCCAAGACCAGAUGAACUCCUUUGAGAAAAGGCUGGGCUCGGGAGAGAGCACGUGAAGUUGCUCCUGCAGGGCUAUCGUAAGCCUCACUGCGGGCCCCAGGGCUCCCAAGAAGCCCAUUUGUAAUAAACCACACUGGGGUACCGUGCACUCCCAGCGUCCAAACUGCGGGGCUGGAGGGUCCCUUUGCUCGGCCAGGAAGGGGCCCCAUGCCAACUGGAAGAGGCCGUGCCUGUGGAGAGGAGGUCCACAUGGUGAGGUCUGUGGGCCUGGAGGUGCAGGGUCAGAACCGUCCAGCGGCCCAGCGCAGGACCUCUGCAGACUGUGGCUGCGGGGUGGGAAAAGGCAGCCAACGGGCCAGAUGCACUGACUCCGCUAGGUUCCCGCUGCUUUCCUCCACGUUCCCCUCGGUGUUCGCUGAAUUUGGCCACUGGCUCCAGGCACUCAGUCUCCGGGCUCCAUCGGAUGACAAGUCAAGUUCUGUUCACCCUCCAGUUUCUGCUCAGAAAAGAGUAGCUGAGAGAAUAAAAGCAGGCUCCGUUCGUUGACGUGGGGUCUCCUCUCAGGAGACCCGGAAUUGCCCCAGGAGGCGUCCAGACCACCAGUCCUCGCCCCACCCCCGACUUGGGGCCACCGAGUCAGGCCGAGAUGGGGGUCUCCCUCCCUGGGCACAUUCUGCCCCACACUAGGUGGAAAUGGCCCCCAUUUGAGCAGCAGCAGGAGACCACGCGGGAUGCUUGGGGACAAGCAGUAUGGUUCCCACUGCACACAGAAGAGAGCGGAGAUGGUCUCUGUGGCCAGCAGGGGACCCAGUCGGGGGCUGAAUGCAGAGGGCUUCCAGCCUGGGGUGAACAGUGUUUGGUCCAGCAUGGGGUGGGGGGGCACAGGCAACCCACAGAGCCCUUUCCUCCCCGGCCGGACCUCCACACUGGCCCCACGGUGGGUGCUGCCCCAGCACCGCUCCUCAGCCCCAGACUGGGACCACAGGAGCCUCCCUGGACCCUGGGGUUAGUAUUUCAGACCUCCUUUUGCCCCUCUUCCUACCCCAGGCCCAGAGACACUCGCUGUGACCCAGGUAAGUUUAGAAGCCAGAAGCACACAGGACCCGAUUUCUGGCCAGCGAGUUCAGAAGCUAUGUGGCGACUCAGAGCGGAGGCCUCCCGGCACCCACACCCAGUCCCUGGUUCUGGAGUGGGUCACAGAGAGGGUUGGGACGCUCCCAACCAAGACUUCCCAGGAAUGUGAGCCAUGUAGCUGAUUUCGAACAAACCCCAGAUGUUUAGAAGCCUACUUCCUUCUCAGGCAGGAGGACGCUCUCUCUUGUAGACCGGCAGCCCCUUGGGAGGGCUCCGGUGGUUUCUCUGCGGGGAUCUUGGAGUCCUGGCUAAGGCCACCAUCUUGCAGGAGCGCAGAUGCUCAUAAGGGGCACCUGGGGUCUGCCACGUGCUUUGGGGGGAUGUGAUGAGUUUUGUUUUCUUGUUUUUUAAUUUAAGAGAUUGAGGCUGUGGGCUUGAACUCCCUCGUUUGAGCCAGGUGGGAGUUGACUCCAGUAUCUCGGCCCAAACCGGCACCCCAAGAAGCGCAGGAAGUCCCUGGCGACUCGUUCCGCCGCAGCGCGCAAAGCGGGCGGGACUCAGCGGCUAAGUCCCGGGGCUCCAGCAACCGCGCGCGGGCUCCGGCUCGGGCUCCGGCCUCGGCCGCCGAGAGCAGUAAACGGAAUCGGUUUCCCACGCUUCCCCUCUCCAUGCCAGAACUUUUCAAAACCCGCUUAAGAAUUCCGUCGUCCAAUUUGCGCGGAUCCUGAGCCUCGCGUUCACCCCGCCCCACCUGGAGAGAGGACCCUCGCGCCGCCCGCACCCCCGGGCCGCCCGCCCGCGCACGUGGGGAGCAACUUCGUUCCCCUCAGCGCCCUGGCCCUGCGGCGCGGGCAGAGCUCCGCCCCGCAGAGGUGGCACUGCGGUCGCUCCGGAACGCUGCCCGCGUAGACGCGGCCGCCGCCUCCUGCUCCAGGUUCCGGCUGCGCGCAGGCAGGGCCCUGUGGCAACAACGAAAACGGAGAGCCGCGUCGCUUUCCGGGCGUCCGAGUCCCGGGAGCCUCUGGGUGGGAGCCCGCCCUCCGCGUCCCCAGACGCCUCAGAGCCGAGCAGACUCCGCCAUCCACACCUGGGCUUGCCAAGCCCUCUCCUCUGCGUCCUCUGAACCUUGGUCCCUUCCCCUACACCCCGACCCCGUUAGUCUGUAAACCAAAUUUCGCCUUUGGUCCUGCCGCGUCCUCCCGACGUAACCGUGGAGGAGGAUUUCUUCACGCCUCAGUUUCCCCAUCUGUGCAGUGGGGCAAAAUACUCCUGCGCCCCUCCCAGGGUUGAUGUGGGAUUGGCAGGGAGAGCGGAGGAUGGAAAACGCCCGGCGGGGCCCAGCGCUGCCCACCUUUUGGGGCUCAGAGGUCGUGCCCAGACUGCAAGGGGCCCAAGGUUGCUCUUGAGCGACCGCUGCCCUCCCCCUUUUCUCCCCCCGCCCCCACCCGAGAACGCCCCUCCCCCCGGCGCGGUGGCGGAGGUGCGAGGGUCCCUCUCGGCGCCCAAGCGCCUCCAGUCUCCGCUCUGUCCCUGGACAGGGUUUCCCUCGCCCUGGGCGGUUCUCUCAGUUUCCUUUGGGGCCCAGGGAGGUUUAACACAACAGGCUCCAACUCUCGGGGUGGUACCACCGGGCACCCAAAAUCUCACAGAGGGUGGGUGCUGGGGAUGCCGGGGGAGGGGAGACAGGCGAUAGAAGCCCUGAUUCCAGGUGAGCUCGCAGAAGGGAAUUUGCCCCCGUCCCUCUCCCUCCCCGCGCCGCGGGGUGUCGGGCUUCUGGGCGGGACCCUGGGGCGUGACCUAGGGCUUAGAGAUCAGCCUUAAACUAGCCCAGCUAGUGGUGAGGGAGGGAAUAGGGAGCUAGGGGAGCUCGGGGAAGGGCACGGCCUGUUCAAACCGUCCCGGCUGCCCACUGCUUCUGGGCAGGACCAGUGGAGGAUGGGGGGUGGCGAGGGGGCGCCAAGUGGACACACCCUCCCCAGGUCCCCUUGACCUGCCACCAAACCAGUAAUCGCCGGCGGCUCUCUGAACCGGCAAGAAAACGGAAGAGACCAGGACCGCCCCAGGCAGGGAAAAAAAUUACCUCUUGUGCUGAGUGACCCGAAGCUGAUGGAAUCAGUUGGGGAUUCCUGUCCCCUGGGGCAGGGCUGGCUUCUUCUGCCUCUGGCGCCCAAGCCCAGGACCUGGGGGCUCUAAGAAGGAAACAGGGCACACGCAGCUUUUGGCUCCGCUGCCCCUGCCAGGGCUUCUCCACCUUCUCUCCCUUCUGCGAGGGCAGUGGGGCUCCCACCCCAGUCCUCCCUCUCGAAUCUGCAGGAGGUUCCCCGGUGAAGGAAGGAACGGUGGCCGGAAUGACAGGGACAUGCUGACACAGGGCCCUGCGCCUGCACCUCAAGCAGCUGGAGCUGUUUAUCAUCGCUCCAACUUUCGCUAAAAAGGAAAAACUAUCACUUAAACAAAGCCAUUGAAAACUCAGCAUCAUAUGUGGAUUUCUUAACAUAAAUAAAUCAUACAAACCAAGAUUUAUGUUCUCCAAAUGAUGUCAUUCGCUGAAGGCUGCCUUCCCAAUCAAAUCAACAGUUAGUGACUCUCCUUUUGUGUGUGUGCUUUUUUGCAAAAUAAGAAAAGCCGCUCUGGAAUCCUCGUUGCUCUUUUUCUCCGCUCUGCCCGGGACAUCAGAAAGAUUUCUCCCUUUCUGAUCAGCAGAACUGGAUCUAAAAGGCGACCACAGACUCAACGCCACAGACCGCAUUUCAAGCCUUUGUUUUUGAAACCUAAGUUCUGAGUUGAAAGACUAUUAAAGCUUCCUGAAGGGUUUGUUCAGACCCCAGCAGAAGCUGAGGACCCUGUGGGUCUCCCAGAACCUAGGAUGAGAGUCAUCACAUUGAAAUGGAUGAGGAAGAUGAAAAUCACCACCAGUGAUGCAUCCGUACUACGGAGGAGUGUUCGGCCACAGCAAGGAACAAAGCCCUGACACAGACCACGAUGGGCAUGGACUCAGUGACUAAAGCUAGUCAGACCAGGCCACAUACCGUACAAUGCCACCUAUGUGACACGUCCAGGAUGGGCAAAUCCAUAGAGACAGAAAAGAGACCGCUGUUUGCCAGGGCUGGGGGAGAGGUAUGUGGAGGUGACUGCUUCCUUAGCACAGGGCUUCCCUCUGGGAAGAUGAAAAUGUUCUGGAACUAGAUAGCCCACUUUAAAACAGGGAAUGUCAUGCUAUGUGAAUUGUAUCUCAAUAAAUCGGUUAUUUAAAAAUCA